rnacentral:rRNA from 1 species
CCAUGNGUAGCGGUGAAAUGCGUAGAUAUAUGGAGGAACACCAGUGGCGAAAGCGGCUNUCUGGUCUGUCACUGACGCUGAGGCUCGAAAGCGUGGGUAGCGAACAGGAUUAGAUACCCUGGUAGUNCACGCCGUAAACGAUGAGUGCUAGGUGUUAGGCCCUUUCCGGGGCUUAGUGCCGGAGCUAACGCAAUAAGCACUCCGCCUGGGGAGUACGACCGCAAGGUUGAAACUCAAAGGAAUUGACGGGGGCCCGCACAAGCGGUGGAGCAUGUGGUUUAAUUCGAAGCAACGCGAAGAACCUUACCAGGUCUUGACAUCCCGAUGCUAUUCUUAGAGAUAGGAAGUUACUUCGGUACAUCGGAGACAGGUGGUGCAUGGUUGUCGUCAGCUCGUGUCGUGAGAUGUUGGGUUAAGUCCCGCAACGAGCGCAACCCUUAUUGUUAGUUGCCAUCAUUAAGUUGGGCACUCUAGCGAGACUGCCGGUAAUAAACCGGAGGAAGGUGGGGAUGACGUCAAAUCAUCAUGCCCCUUAUGACCUGGGCUACACACGUGCUACAAUGGUCGGUACAACGAGUUGCGAGCCGGUGACGGCAAGCUAAUCUCUGAAAGCCGAUCUCAGUUCGGAUUGGAGGCUGCAACUCGCCUCCAUGAAGUCGGAAUCGCUAGUAAUCGCGGAUCAGCACGCCGCGGUGAAUACGUUCCCGGGCCUUGUACACACCGCCCGUCACACCACGAGAGUUUGUAACACCCGAAGUCGGUGAGGUANCCUUUUAGGG